rnacentral:tRNA from 1 species
UGGGGGAUCGUCUAAUGGUAGGACAGCAGACUCUGACUCUGCCUGUUGGGGUUCGAAUCCCUAUCCCCCAGCCA